CAAAAUUUCAACCUAAAAUCAGCCAUGGGAGAGCUUGUUAUUCGGCCAAACUUUGAAGACAAAUUGUGUUUGGGACGUUCGCUCGGGUUGGAAGUCGACAGAGAUUGCAUCACACUAUCCAGCUAAUAAUUUCGGUAUUUAUAUACUUUGUGACUUGGUUAUAUGGCAUGUAUAUGCUAUGGUUAUUUUGGUUUACUAUGGAAAGUGUAUUUGGCCAUAUGGUUUGGCUUGUUUUAAGUAUGUAUUUGAUUAUUUUGUAUAGGCUAGUUUUUAAUAUGUUUGGUUUUGAUGAUAUGUAUAUAU